AUUGAACGCUGGCGGCAGGCUUAACACAUGCAAGUCGAGCGGUAACAUUUCUAGCUUGCUAGAAGAUGACGAGCGGCGGACGGGUGAGUAAUACUUAGGAAUCUACCUAGUAGUGGGGGAUAGCACGGGGAAACUCGUAUUAAUACCGCAUACGACCUACGGGAGAAAGGGGGCAGUUUACUGCUCUCGCUAUUAGAUGAGCCUAAGUCGGAUUAGCUAGAUGGUGGGGUAAAGGCCUACCAUGGCGACGAUCUGUAGCUGGUCUGAGAGGAUGAUCAGCCACACCGGGACUGAGACACGGCCCGGACUCCUACGGGAGGCAGCAGUGGGGAAUAUUGGACAAUGGGGGAAACCCUGAUCCAGCCAUGCCGCGUGUGUGAAGAAGGCCUUUUGGUUGUAAAGCACUUUAAGCAGUGAAGAAGACUCCAUGGUUAAUACCCAUGGACGAUGACAUUAGCUGUAGAAUAAGCACCGGCUAACUCUGUGCCAGCAGCCGCGGUAAUACAGAGGGUGCAAGCGUUAAUCGGAAUUACUGGGCGUAAAGGGAGCGUAGGUGGCUCUAUAAGUCAGAUGUGAAAUCCCCGGGCUUAACCUGGGAACUGCAUCUGAAACUGUAGAGCUAGAGUAUGUGAGAGGAAGGUAGAAUUCCACGUGUAGCGGUGAAAUGCGUAGAGAUCUGGAGGAAUACCGAUGGCGAAGGCAGCCUUCUGGCAUAAUACUGACACUGAGGCUCGAAAGCGUGGGUAGCAAACAGGAUUAGAUACCCUGGUAGUCCACGCCGUAAACGA
rnacentral:rRNA from 1 species